AGGUCUCUCCAAGAAAAGAAACCAACUACAGCCUUUGGUCAUUUAUCAGUCUCUUAAUGGUUGGUUGGAGGUUUGGAUAAACAGAAAAGGGCUGUAAAAGUAGCUAUCACCAUUGUUUCUCUUCGUGAAUUAUUGAGGAAAUGGCUGAAAAAUUGGAGAACCUGCAAACACAUGAAAAGCAGUGGAAGCUCCAAGUUCCAUUACAAGUGUACGAGCAGAAGAUACAGCUUUCUCAAAUUCAUCUUCUCGAUAAUUUGAUAAGAAGGCUUUCAAGUUGUCAAUCAGCAGAACAGCAGUGUCUACCAUGAUGUCCUCUGACUGCACUGCAAUGCUAAUUCAUUCCAGAUCAACAGAGAAGUUAAAAAAAAUCCAUAUGCUGUAUUUUGUUUGAUGGUGCAUUAGCCUCAGAACAAAUUUUGCUAUCUUUUUUGGUGUGCUCUAACUUUUCCAAAGCCUUAACAAUGUCACCAAGCUGAUAUUGCAGCGUUCUAAUGGAAUCUAAUUUAGCUUCCUACCUUGUCUCACUCAACGGCUUUAACAUGAUGUUAACAAAUUCUUUUAAAAUCUUCCAAUGUUUGACCAAGGAAGAAAAGAUUGUAAACAGCCUUGUACUGUACCAAAGAAAUCAAUGCACACUCUGUUUGAGGAAGCAGGAUCACAUAGCAGCAAGUUCAAACUAUGGCUGCCACAUGGUAAAAAUAAGGUUCCGGGAUUUUUAUUAAGCAUUACUGCCUGGAUGCCAUGAUGAACUCCUUUCAUGUUUGAGCCAUUGUUAUAACUUUGACCGCAACAAUUUGUCAAAUCAAUCCCCAGCCCAUCUAGAGCUUAUUUUAUUAGCAUUACUGCUAUCCUGUUCCACGCUGUAUCACUGACAUUUGUGAAUCCAAGAAAUGAUUCUUCAA